rnacentral:piRNA from 1 species
UUUCAUAGUCCAGAGAGAUUGGG